CAUACUUUGUCUAGAACUAUGUGCAGCAGGCAGAGACAUCUAGUUGUAGAAUAAUAUACUACUAUCAAACGUCCUAUACAAGCAGACCAACAUGACUAUGACCAAGACCUCUGAGAGAACUUGUGGUCUGCUUCACAGAUGGAGGAAAAAGCACUGGUAAUUCAUUUUAAAGUGGCACCUUGAAGAUGGAGGAGGAGGAGGAAGGCCCUGUUGUGCUGGAUACUGUCCAAAUGUAUAGUAAUAGAAAGUUCCUUCUCAAUGGAGUAUACAUAAGGGCAAAUAAGCCCAGGAGGGGAAAGGUCCUUGAAAGGAAAAAUUACUUGGCCAAAGUCAAAUAAUAAUAAAUACAGAUCACAAAUCCAGAUCCUGUGAUCCUGCCUACAUUCUGCGCUGCUUUUAUGGCUUUCCAUUAGAAUACCAUUAUUUUUUAACACAA